GGCGAAUAGAGAUGGUUCUGGCGAGUAUCGUCUGCGAUCCCCGCCCGCGCCUUUGCUCGAUCCGAUUCUUACACGAUCAUCCUUGGGUUAUUGUGUCAAGCUGCGUCCACGGGAUGCGUGUUCUUCUUGGAUGAUCCGGCGGUAAAUGGGCUUGGUGAUGGUUUUCCUUUCGAUUCAUUUCCAUCUCACGGCAAUUUCUGUUCUCUUGCGGUUGGAAUUCGAACACACAAUUAAGUCAUCGAUUGCAAUAAGUGCUUAUGUAAUGUGAAUUUGAAGAUCAAAUCCGAUCUACCCUUUCCACAACACAUGGUCACAGAGACUACAAAAUUGUAAUGACACCACCCACCAUGGAAACAUUUCAAAUAAUUGCUGUAGAGAUACUUCAAAGACAAAGACAUUGAUUUUUUUUUU